CUGUUAUCCAUAUCUGGUAGGUGUAGAGCAGGGAGGAAGCUCAACACUCUCACAUAAAGGAUAAAGACGUAUCCUGCUGGCAGUGUCACGAAGCUAACUAAGGCUGAGAAACUCUAACUUAAGGAAUCAGAAGACGCAUCUGUCUUGUUCAAAUCCAGCACUCUGACUGAUGAGGUAUCAUUAACACCAUUCCACAUACCAGAAAGCCAAAGCUCAAAGGACUUACAACCAGGUGAAGGCAAAGCCAGAUCCAAAUGUAGGCCUGCCUGACUCUACGCUGGGUAUUUCUCCUCUAUUCCAGUUACUUUUGUGCCUUUAUGUUUAAAGACGGUAUUCACCCAAAGUUGGUAAGCCUGUCUCCUUGUUUUUUGUUUUUGUUUUUCUAAAGCUGCAUGAACUGGGUGUGCCGGCCCUCUCCUUCACUCACACUAUGUACACAAUCCAAAUACAAGUUCACACAUGCACAAGUACACACGCACACACAUCCUCAUGGAUGCAUUUGAAUAUAUACCCCACAAAUGUACACACAAAAUAGCCACACAUAUGUGCACACAAACACAUGUGAAUCCACACCAUGCCACCAGCAAUUCUG
rnacentral:lncRNA from 1 species